CUCUACAUCUUCACGAUGAUUCUUGCGUAGAAUAGGAUUGAAUUUCAGACGACACAAAUCUUCUCCAGAACCGCCAUUGAAUAAUCGAAGAAGAACUGAUUUUGUUCAUUUUCUGGGCAAACGAAACGCGACAUCGAAGAAGAUCUGAAGAUUGUUAGGUUUUUCGAAAAAAAAUUCAAAGAAGAUCGUCGAAGUUUCAAAUUUAGUUUCUGUUCAAGAUUGUCGUCUGUGGUUCGACUGCAAAACCUGAGUAUAUGUACCGAAUAAUUGAGCAUUUUGCUCUUGGUUGAAGAAGGCUCAAGCUUUUUGGUGAACAGCAUAACAUUCGUUUAAGCGUUUACAGUAGGUACAAGACUUUCAUCAAAUUUCAAUUCUAAGGUAUGCGCCUCUUCUUGUGCUGACGACACCAAAAAUAGAAGCUCUUCGGCCCAAGUCACCGAUGAAGAGAAGCUCUUGCCAUCGAGAAUUGCCAAAGAGCCGUGGGUGGUGGAUUGAUUUUUCAUCUAUUGUGUCUUGUUCAUUGAAUAAUAGUGUUCUAUUCAUUUAGAAAUUGUGAUUGUUCAUUUAAAAUAUUUUGUUAUAUUCAUUUAGAAAUUGUGUUUCGUUCA